AUUAACUGGUACAUCUUCUUAGAAAAAUCAUGUUCUCAAAAAUCACACGCACGCACUGUUUCUCUUCUCGAUCGAGAUCUCGGCCGCACGCGCUGCUCGCCAUCACGCGCGGCCGCCGCCUAGCUAGGUCGCCGCCUCCUCCGACCGCCGCCGUCUAGGUGGCCGCCGCCUAGAUCGUACAUAUCCUCUGCUCGCCAGGACGCGCCGCCGCCGCCUAGCUAGGUCGCCGCGGGACGCCGCCUCAUCCGACCGCCGCCUAGCUAGGUCGCCGCGGGAUGCCGCCGCCUCCUCCGACUGCCGCCGCCUAGGUCACCGCCGCGUAGAUCGCCCAUAUCCUCGCUCGCCAAUCGCCUCCACUCACUGCCAACGACCCUGCGGCAUCGGUUGCCUGUCUUCCCCGCUCCCGUCACAAGCCGCCGCUGCCUUCAUUGAGAUCUCCUCCGCCAUCCUCUCCUCCUCGCGACCGACCGAGGGGUUGUCCUCGCUGAGGCCGCCGCCGCACAAGGAGAGGCCGGUUGUCUAAGGCUCCAAGCUCAUGGAUCCGCGCACUUCAUUCCUCUCCCGUCCCCGUGCAACAACUUCCGCCAUCCCCAACGAAUCGGCUAAAUCUGGUGCAACAUAUGAUUGAUCAAGGAGUUGGUGUGCCAUCAGAUGUGAAAACAUUCGCUCAAAGGCAAUUCCAACUAAGAAAAAAGAAACAAGGGGAUAUCAGGAGAAUUGUUGCCAUGCUGCAGGUUCAAGAAGUUUUAUGGUUAUUCAAGAUCUGAUGGAAAUUAAAGAAGGAAGAACUGUGUCUCGAUCAGAGUUAUAUUGUGUUGUCCAUACCAACAAGAAAGGAGAGCCUGUGGAUGCCUAUUUUGCAGGAAAGAUGGGGCCUUGAGUUUCCGUCGUGCUUGUGAACCUGUGACUAUUAAAUCGUGCUUGUGAGAAGUUUUUCUGAGAAGUUUGAAUUUUGGGCCAAAUUUGAAUGUGCUGAUGUGAUGUAGGUUAAUUCGCAAACGAAGUAGUAACAAUGGAGAUUCACAAACUGGAAAAAAAAAGCCAACCAAGAGAAGAAGAACUUCCAAUCCGACUACAAGGAAAUCAAGUUCGAAAAGGGACUCACAAGCUAAUGCCUCGAUGGAGAAUGCACUAGUUGCAGCAAUGUAAUUGAGAGAGACGGUGGAAUAUUUUGAUAUUGUAGUUGAUUUCGGUUGUUUUUGCUGGUAGCAGUCUUUUGAUGUUGUAGUAGCUGUAAUCUGAAUGAUGGGCGGAGUGCAUUGCUGAAUCUUUUUGGGAUGCAACUCUGGUACUUUAGAACUGUUGAAGAUACAAUUUAUGGAUGAUAAUGCACUGUUGGGGCACACUAUUUGAAUACUGGUAUAUGUAAUAAUUUGGGGGCAGUUUACUGAAGUGCAUCUGAUUUGUUUAA